rnacentral:rRNA from 1 species
UACGGGGGGGGCAAGCGUUGUUCGGAAUUACUGGGCGUAAAGGGCUCGUAGGCGGCCAACUAAGUCAGACGUGAAAUCCCUCGGCUUAACCGGGGAACUGCGUCUGAUACUGGUUGGCUUGAAUCCGGGAGAGGGAUGUGGAAUUCCAGGUGUAGCGGUGAAAUGCGUAGAUAUCUGGAGGAACACCAAUGGCGAAGGCAGCUCGCUGGAACGGUACUGACGCUGAGGCGCGAAAGCGUGGGGAGCGAACAGG